rnacentral:lncRNA from 1 species
GCGGGGGUCGGAUCCCUCCAACAUGUUUAACCCCGCUACAUUCUGUAUGUAUAUGCUCGUCCUAAGUCAGGGGCCUGUAAUUCAGUGGUUGUCCUUUGUUGCUAUGGUAUAAAUUUGUUUAUCGUUCAUGUUUGUGUUCAUAAAGUAGGCGAUUGUUUUUUCUCUUUUGAAGUGUUUUACAUUUGGGUGCCUUUUAUAGCUGACUAAGCAGUAUGCGCGUUGAUCAUUGUUGAAAGCAAUACGGUGACUAUAUUUGUUAAGGCAGAGGUUUCAAAUUAUAAACCAUGACUGAGGAAACGGACCAAAUAAACUCAGAGGUCAUGCUUAAAAUAUUAUUGACAUAUCAGUAUGGUUUUCUUUUAACUGGCAUCAUUACAAACUGAAACAAAAUACCGGAAACAGUUCGCAAAUGUCUCGCCUCAACGAAGUCGAAAAAAAACCCUAACUUUAUGAAUUCAUAGUUCCUCAUUAUAUCCCGAUUUAAAACAAAAGCAAACGCCAACAUACAUAGAUAAGUGCAGUAGAUAAUAAUGCCACAUUCCUGACGUGGUACAGGACGUUUAAAGAAACAUGGGGUGUUCUACCUUGUUUUAUGGCUAGCAAACACUUUGUCAAUCGAAAGUUUGUUCUGCUGCUAUUGGUUUCGUAUGUUUUUGUCUAU